CCUACGGGAGGCAGCAGUGGGGGAUAUUGCACAAUGGGGGAAACCCUGAUGCAGCGACGCCGCGUGGGCGAAGAAGUAUUUCGGUAUGUAAAGCCCUAUCAGCAGGGAAGAAGAAAUGACGGUACCUGAGUAAGAAGCACCGGCUAAAUACGUGCCAGCAGCCGCGGUAAUACGUAGGGUGCAAGCGUUAUCCGGAUUUACUGGGUGUAAAGGGAGCGCAGGCGGCACGGCAAGCCUGAUGUGAAAGCCCGCGGCCCAACCGCGGGACUGCAUUGGGAACUACCGGGCUGGAGUGCCGGAGAGGUAGGCGGAAUUCGUAGUGUAGCGGGGAAAGGCGUAGAUAUUAGGAGGAACACCAGUUGCGAAGGCAGCCUACUAGACGGUGACUGACGCUGAGGCUCGAAAGCGUGGGGAGCAAACAGGAUUAGAUACCCGUGUAGUC
rnacentral:rRNA from 1 species